rnacentral:rRNA from 1 species
UACAGAGGUCUCAAGCGUUGUUCGGAUUCAUUGGGCGUAAAGGGUGCGUAGGUGGCGAGGCAAGUCAGAUGUGAAAUCCCGGGGCUCAACCCCGGAACUGCAUUUGAAACUGCCUUGCUCGAGUACUGGAGAGGAGACUGGAAUUUACGGUGUAGCAGUGAAAUGCGUAGAUAUAGGAAGGAACACCAGUGGCGAAGGCGACCACCUGGACUGAUACUGACACUGAGGUGCGAAAGCGUGGGGAGCAAACAGG